GCACUGGCAAAAUCCAGUGUCGGGAUUGCAACCCCGUUUUACAACAGCUGCCUAAAACACGCACCGCGUGUUUUUU
rnacentral:sRNA from 15 species